rnacentral:lncRNA from 1 species
ACCGCCAUGUCGCUCCCUUUCGUGACAUAUUUGCAAAUUUAUUUAAUUGACUUGACCGAAUUGCAAUCACUUGGCAUGCGCUCUAAAGCAGUCUUGAACAGCCUGACCAAUGCAUGAUGUUCAUGAAGCAUUUGCUGUAGAUCUUGGAGAAUUGCUCUCUUCGUAGCUGUGUUGAUCCCUUGACGCCUGUCAAGUUGUUCUUCCAUAUUUCCCACAUUUCAAGAAUUUUUUCUGUGCAUCUUUUGUAGGUUGCAAUGAUCCAAUGCGAUGGUAAUAGGAUUUUCAUUCAAGCACUUUGUGGUAAACGACAUUCUUUGUUUUUUGGUCAGGCGCAAGAACAAAUAAAG